rnacentral:rRNA from 1 species
GAUGAACGCUGGCGGCGUGCCUAAUACAUGCAAGUCGAGCGAACAGACGAGGAGCUUGCUCCUCUGACGUUAGCGGCGGACGGGUGAGUAACACGUGGAUAACCUACCUAUAAGACUGGAAUAACUUCGGGAAACCGGAGCUAAUACCGGAUAAAAUAUUGAACCGCAUGGUUCAAUAGUGAAAGACGGUUUUGCUGUCACUUAUAGAUGGAUCCGCGCCGCAUUAGCUAGUUGGUAAGGUAACGGCUUACCAAGGCAACGAUGCGUAGCCGACCUGAGAGGGUGAUCGGCCACACUGGAACUGAGACACGGUCCAGACUCCUACGGGAGGCAGCAGUAGGGAAUCUUCCGCAAUGGGCGAAAGCUUGACGGAGCAACGCCGCGUGAGUGAUGAAGGUCUUCGGAUCGUAAAACUCUGUUAUUAGGGAAGAACAAAUGUGUAAGUAACUAUGCACGUCUUGACGGUACCUAAUCAGAAAGCCACGGCUAACUACGUG